UACGUAGGGGGCAAGCGUUGUCCGGAAUUAUUGGGCGUAAAGCGCGUGUAGGCGGCCAGAAAAGUCCGCUGUGAAAACUCGAGGCUCAACUUCGAGCUGUCGGUGGAAACUUUCUGGCUAGAGUCCGGAAGAGGAGAGUGGAAUUCCUGGUGUAGCGGUGAAAUGCGCAGAUAUCAGGAAGAACACCAAUGGCGAAAGCAGCUCUCUGGGACGGUACUGACGCUGAGACGCGAAAGCGUGGGGAGCGAACAGG
rnacentral:rRNA from 1 species